rnacentral:rRNA from 1 species
CUCGUAGUUGAAACUUGGACCUGAUGUGCUGGUCCGCCGCAAGGCGUGUACUGGAUAUUAUCGGGUCUUUCCUCCUGGCAUAACCAUUAGUGUCUUUAACCGGACGCUAAUUUUUGGCGAACCAGGACUUUUACUUUGAAAAAAUUAGAGUGUUCAAAGCAGGCAUUUGCUCGAAUAUAUUAGCAUGGAAUAAUAGAAUAGGACGUUUUACGGUUCUAUUUUGUUGGUUUCUAGGACCGUCGUAAUGAUUAAUAGGGACAGUCGGGGGCAUCAGUAUUCAAUUGUCAGAGGUGAAAUUCUUGGAUUUAUUGAAGACUAACUACUGCGAAAGCAUUUGCCAAGGAUGUUUUCAUUAAUCAAGAACGAAAGUUAGGGGAUCGAAGACGCUUAGAUACCGUCGUAGUCUUAACCAUAAACUAUGCCGACUAGGGAUCGGGCGAUGUUUUUUUUUUAUUGACUCGCUCGGCACCUUACGAGAAAUCAAAGUUUUUGGGUUCUGGGGGGAGUAUGGUCGCAAGGCUGAAACUUAAAGGAAUUGACGGAAGGGCACCACCAGGAGUGGAGCCUGCGGCUUAAUUUGACUCAACACGGGGAAACUCACCAGGUCCAGACACAAUAAGGAUUGACAGAUUGAGAGCUCUUUCUUGAUUUUGUGGGUAGUGGUGCAUGGCCGUUCUUAGUUCGUGGAGUGAUUUGUCUGCUUAAUUGCGAUAACGAACGAGACCUUAACCUACUAAAUAGCUCAAACAGCAGAUGCUGUUUGCUAGCUUCUUAGAGGGACUAUUGAUUUCAAAUCAAUGGAAGUUUGAGGCAAUAACAGGUCUGUGAUGCCCUUAGACGUUCUGGGCCGCACGCGCGCUACACUGACGGAGCCAGCGAGUACAUAACCUUGGCCGAGAGGUCUGGGUAAUCUUGUUAAACUCCGUCGUGCUGGGGAUAGAGCAUUGCAAUUAUUGCUCUUCAACGAGGAAUUCCUAGUAAGCGCAAGUCAUCAGCUUGCGUUGAUUACGUCCCUGCCCUUUGUACA